AUGGAGAAGCUUCCCAAGCGUCCGGCUAACUACGUGCCGCUUAGCCCGGUUGGGUUCCUGCCGCGUGCCGCUGCCGUAUACGGUGACCGCACGUCCGUCGUCUACGGGCGUCUCCGCUUCACGUGGAGCCAUACGUACGAGCGCUGCCGCCGCCUUGCCGCCGCCCUCCUCUCCCUCGGCGUCCGCAAGAACGACGUCGUCUCCGUCCUCGCCCCCAACGUGCCGGCGAUGUAUGAGAUGCACUUCGCCGUGCCCAUGGCUGCUGCCGUGCUCAACACCGUCAACACGCGCCUGGACGCCAAGGCGGUGGCGGCCAUCCUGAGGCACUCCCAGGCCAAGGUCUUGUUCGUCGACAAUGACUACGUGAGCCUCGCCAACGACGCGCUACAGGUCGUCGCCGAUGCCGGCGCCCGCGUCCCGUUGGUCGCCGUCAUCGUCGAUAUUGACAGGCCCACUGGCGUCCGGCUCGGCGUCGGUGAGCUCGAGUAUGAGGCGCUGGUCAGCGGCGGCGACCCGGCCUCGGAGCUGCCCUCGCUCGCGGACGAGUGGGACGCGGUCACGCUCAACUACACCUCCGGCACCACGUCGGCGCCUAAGGGCGUGGUGUACAGCCACCGUGGUGCGUACCUCAACACCACGAGCCAGCUGCUGUCGUGGGGGGUGGGCACCGAGCCGGUGUACCUCUGGACGCUCCCCAUGUUCCACUGCAACGGGUGGACGCUCAUCUGGGGAAUGGCAGCGCGCGGCGGCGUCAACGUCUGCAUCCGCGAGAACCGCGCCGCCGACGUCUACCGUGCCAUCUCCGACCACGGCGUCACCCACAUGUGUUGCGCGCCGGUGGUGCUCAACAUUCUCCUAGACGGCAUCGGCGAGGCUCGUCGGCUGGCGGCUCCCGUCCACGUCCUCACUGGCGGGGCCCCGCCGACGGCCACCCUGCUGGACCGCGUCGAGCGGGUCGGUUUCAAGGUGACGCACUCGUACGGACUCACUGAGGCCACCGGCCCCGCUCUGGCCUGCGAGUGGCGCCACGAGUGGGACCUCCUGCCGCUCCUGGAGCGCUCACGCCUCAAGGCCAGGCAGGGGGUCAGUGUCCUGUCUCUCGCCGACGCCAACGUCGUCGACGACAACACCAUGGCUAGUGUGCCGCGUGACGGCAAAUCCGUGGGUGAGAUCGCGCUCCGCGGCAGCAGCAUCAUGAAGGGGUACCUCGACAACCCGGAGGCGAACGACAAGGCCUUCAAGGGCGGGUGGUUCAUGACGGGCGACGUCGGCGUCGUGCACCCGGACGGGUACAUCGAGGUAAAGGACAGGUCAAAGGACGUGAUCAUCAGCGGAGGCGAGAACAUUUGCAGCAAGGAGGUGGAGGAGGUGCUGCUCCAGCACCAGGCUGUGGCGGACGCGGCGGUGGUUGCCAUGCCUCACCCGCACUGGGGCGAGACACCGUGCGCGUUUCUCGUGGCCAGCAAAAAGGCUGCCGAGGUCUGCGAGGAUGAAGUGAUCGCCUUCUGCCGCGAGCACAUGGCGCGCUUCAUGGCACCCAGGAAGGUGGUGGUCGUCGACGCCCUCCCGAGGAACGCACUGGGAAAGGUUGACAAGGUGAAGCUUCGGGAUGCAGUCCGGAGUCUUGUGCUCCCCACGGCCACGUCUAGGCUAUAG
rnacentral:rRNA from 1 species